ensembl:lincRNA Gm42904 predicted gene 42904
AGAGUACAACCCAUAUGACUCCGUGACCUGAUGGUAACUUGUGGGAGAAAACCAUAGAACUAAAAAUAAGUCAGAGCGCUGAAGGGGGUAGAAACAAAAAGACUGCAAAGGCAAGCUUCUGGUGCUUUCCUGGACCAUCCAAUAGCCAGACGACACGAUUCAGAAACUGCGAAAACCCACAAGCUCUUCCUUGUUAAAGCCUCACAGCUAUGGGCUCACUGAUGUCUCUAGCGGCAGAGACCAGCAGGUCCCAGCAGGACCCAGCAGGACCCAGCAGGACCCAGCAGGACCCAGCAGGACCCAGCAGGACCCAGCAGGACCCAGCAGGACCCAGCAGGACCCAGCAGGACCCAGCGCUCAGGGUACAUCAUGCAUCCUUAUAAACACCCUUCCCGAGUCUUCCUUCAGACUCGCUUUCUUUCAUCUUUUGACCAUGGAACAGCUCCUAGCUAAAUUCAGCAAUGGAAAUGUUCGUAUGCUUGCCCCAUAAGCAAGCCACAAGAUUCACAGGAAGCUGUGUUUACCCUGGAACAUAGAACAUGGAAGGAACAUGGGGAAGAGCAGUACCAUUGGCCAAUUUCACUUGACCUACCAAGAUCACACAAGCUGCAUUUCAAACUCUGAAGUAUAGUUCUACUUAAAGUGUCACCUUGGAGAUAAAUUAUCCUCUG